AGAACGAACGCUGGCGGCGCGCUUAACACAUGCAAGUCGAACGAGAAGCUGUAGCAAUACAGUUGUAAAGUGGCAAACGGGUGAGUAAUGCGUGGGUAAUCUACCCUCGGGUGGGGAAUAACUCUUCGAAAGGAGAGCUAAUGCCGAACAUGUGCAGCACUUUUGCAAGGAAGUGCUGGAAAGCCGUAUCGUGGAUACGGCGCCCAAGGAUGAGCUCACGUCCUAUCAGCUUGUUGGCGGGGUAACGCCCACAAGGCUCCGACGGGUAGCUGGUCUGAGAGGACGACAGCCACACUGG
rnacentral:rRNA from 1 species